rnacentral:rRNA from 1 species
CGACAGCAAUAUGAAGGUCAGGCCGAAGACCUUACCCGAUUAGCUGAGAGGUGGUGCAUGGCCGUCGUCAGUUCGUACUGUGAAGCAUCCUGUUAAGUCAGGCAACGAGCGAGACCCACGUCCACAGUUGCCAGCAUACCCUCCGGGGUGAUGGGUACACUGUGGAGACCGCCGCUGCUAAAGCGGAGGAAGGAGUGGGCAACGGUAGGUCAGUAUGCCCCGAAUCUCCCGGGCUACACGCGGGCUACAAUGGUUGGUACAAUGGGCAUCUACCCCGAAAGGGGAAGGAAAUCUCUUAAAGCCAAUCGUAGUUCGGAUUGAGGGCUGCAACUCGCCCUCAUGAAGCUGGAAUCCGUAGUAAUCGCGUUUCAACAGAACGCGGUGAAUACGUCCCUGCUCCUU